rnacentral:rRNA from 1 species
GACGAACGCUGGCGGCGUGCUUAACACAUGCAAGUCGAACGGAAAGGCCCUGCUUUUGUGGGGUGCUCGAGUGGCGAACGGGUGAGUAACACGUGAGUAACCUGCCCUUGACUUUGGGAUAACUUCAGUAAACUGGGGCUAAUACCGGAUAUGAGCUCCUGCUGCAUGGUGGGGGUUGGAAAGUUUCGGCGGUUGGGGAUGGACUCGCGGCUUAUCAGCUUGUUGGUGGGGUAGUGGCUUACCAAGGCUUUGACGGGUAGCCGGCCUGAGAGGGUGACCGGCCACAUUGGGACUGAGAUACGGCACAGACGCCUACGGGAGGCAGCAGUGGGGAAUAUUGCACAAUGGGCGGAAGCCUGAUGCAGCAACGCCGCGUGCGGGAUGACGGCCUUCGGGUUGUAAACCGCUGUCGCCUGUGACGAAGCGUGAGUGACGGUAAUGGGGAAAGAAGCACCGGCUAACUACGU